GUCCGGCUGAUGAGUCCCAAACAGGACGAAACUCGAAUCCUGGAU
rnacentral:hammerhead_ribozyme from 1 species